rnacentral:lncRNA from 1 species
AAAAAUUAAAGGCAUAUAGUUGAGAUGGAUGGGUAACUGCGUAUAUACAUAGAGCACUACCAAUGCUCCAUGCCUUCAUUUUUCAACAUCUCACUCAAUUUAUCAUGCUAAUAAGUUUCUAGAAUUCAAUACAUAUCUAUUAUAACUCCAUUUCCAUUAUCUCCAAAAUGCCCUCAGUUUUUUUACCUACGAAGGUUAGAGCUGCCUACUCGGAACUUGGAAGGGGUACAAUUACAACACC